CCUACGGGAGGCAGCAGUGGGGAAUAUUGCACAAUGGGCGAAAGCCUGAUGCAGCGACGCCGCGUGAGGGAUGACGGCCUUCGGGUUGUAAACCUCUUUCAGCAGGGAAGAAGCGAAAGUGACGGUACCUGCAGAAGAAGCGCCGGCUAACUACGUGCCAGCAGCCGCGGUAAUACGUAGGGCGCAAACGUUGUCCGGAAUUAUUGGGCGUAAAGAGCUCGUAGGCGGCUUGUCACGUCGGAUGUGAAAGCCCGAGGCUUAACCUCGGGUCUGCAUUCGAUACGGGCUAGCUAGAGUGUGGUAGGGGAGAUCGGAAUUCCUGGUGUAGCGGUGAAAUGCGCAGAUAUCAGGAGGAACACCGGUGGCGAAGGCGGAUCUCUGGGCCAUUACUGACGCUGAGGAGCGAAAGCGUGGGGAGCGAACAGGAUUAGAUACCCUGGUAGUCCACGCCGUAAACGUUGGGAACUAGGUGUUGGCGACAUUCCACGUCGUCGGUGCCGCAGCUAACGCAUUAAGUCCCGCCUGGGAGUACGGCCGCAAGGCAAACUCAAAGGAAUUGACGG
rnacentral:rRNA from 1 species